rnacentral:rRNA from 1 species
CAGCCAUGCCGCGUGUGUGAAGAAGGCCUUCGGGUUGUAAAGCACUUUCAGUGGUGAGGAAAAGUUAGUAGUUAAUACCUGCUAACCGUGACGUUAACCACAGAAGAAGCACCGGCUAACUCCGUGCCAGCAGCCGCGGUAAUACGGAGGGUGCGAGCGUUAAUCGGAAUUACUGGGCGUAAAGCGCACGCAGGCGGUCUGUUAAGCUAGAUGUGAAAGCCCCGCGCUUAACGUGGGAUGGUCAUUUAGAACUGGCAGACUAGAGUCUUGGAGAGGGGAGUGGAAUUUCUGGUGUAGCGGUGAGAUGCGUAGAGAUCAGAAGGAACAUCAAUGGCGAAGGCAGCUCUCUGGCCAAAGACUGACGCUCAUGUGCGAAAGUGUGGGUAGCGAACAGGAUUAGAUACCCUGGUAGUCCACACCGUAAACGCUGUCUACUAGCUGUAUGUGUAUUUAAUACGUGUGUAGCGAAGCUAACGCGCUAAGUAGACCGCCUGGGGAGUACGGUCGCAAGAUUAAAACUCAAAUGAAUUGACGGGG